UACGGGGGGGGCAAGCGUUGUUCGGAAUUACUGGGCGUAAAGGGCUCGUAGGUGGCCAACUAAGUCAGACGUGAAAUCCCUCGGCUUAACCGGGGAACUGCGUCUGAUACUGGAUGGCUUGAGUUUGGGAGAGGGAUGCGGAAUUCCAGGUGUAGCGGUGAAAUGCGUAGAUAUCUGGAGGAAUACCGGUGGCGAAGGCGGCAUCCUGGACCGGCAUUGACGCUGAGGAGCGAAAGCGUGGGGAGCAAACAGG
rnacentral:rRNA from 1 species